rnacentral:lncRNA from 1 species
GCUAGGGACGAGGUAGAUGAGUCCUCGGUCGGAGAUGGGGUAUCGAUGGAGAUGGUGCCUCUUGGGUGCUAGAACUGGACUUGCAAAAUGAGUCUCUGAUCGAAAGAUUUUCUGAUGGUAACAGUCCGAUAUUCAAAUCAGUUGGAAAUUAGAAAAUACAGAUAGAGAUUAGUACAGUGAAGCAUCUUGAGGCUGUCAAGGACUUACCUGAGAUCCUCUUUUCUCCCUUAUUUAUAGAGAGU